CACGACGUUAUUAACGCUUUGCAAGUUAAACAGUAUUAGUUUGACAAAUAUUACAAACUCGCCUCAUCACGAUUUCCUUCUCUGUAAAGUCAACGGUCUCCGGCUCCCUCUACUGGACUUUACAUACACUUUUAUCCUCCUCUGAGGGUGGACAGUUGGGAGACGACAAGAAAUGAAUGGACAGAGUAAAUGGAGUGACAAUCCCCAGCAGGACUCACAUCAAGGAUUCUUCAGUUCAUGCCCUGUGAUGGAUUGGUGACCUGUCCAGGUGUCCCCAGCCUUCAUCCUGAGUCACCUGGGAUCGACUCCAGCCCCUCUAAUGAGGAUUAAGCGGUGUAUACAUAAUGGAUGGAUGGAUGAUUCCAGAUAAAAUAAAU